rnacentral:rRNA from 2 species
CUCACUGGUCGAGUCGGCCUGCGCGGAAGAUGUAACGGGGCUAAACCAUGCACCGAAGCUGCGGCAGCGACACUGUGUGUUGUUGGGUAGGGGAGCGUUCUGUAAGCCUGUGAAGGUGUGUCGUGAGGCAUGCUGGAGGUAUCAGAAGUGCGAAUGCUGACAUAAGUAACGAUAAAGCGGGUGAAAAGCCCGCUCGCCGGAAGACCAAGGGUUCCUGUCCAACGUUAAUCGGGGCAGGGUGAGUCGACCCCUAAGGCGAGGCCGAAAGGCGUAGUCGAUGGGAAACGGGUUAAUAUUCCCGUACUUGGUGUUACUGCGAAGGGGGGACGGAGAAGGCUAUGUUGGCCGGGCGACGGUUGUCCCGGUUUAAGCGUGUAGGUGUGUGUUCCAGGUAAAUCCGGUUCACUUUAACACUGAGGCGUGACGACGAGGCACUACGGUGCUGAAGCAACAAAUGCCCUGCUUCCAGGAAAAGCCUCUAAGCAUCAGGUAACAUCAAAUCGUACCCCAAACCGACACAGGUGGUCAGGUAGAGAAUACCAAGGCGCUUGAGAGAACUCGGGUGAAGGAACUAGGCAAAAUGGUGCCGUAACUUCGGGAGAAGGCACGCUGACACGUAGGUGAAGUGAUUUACUCAUGGAGCUGAAGUCAGUCGAAGAUACCAGCUGGCUGCAACUGUUUAUUAAAAACACAGCACUGUGCAAACACGAAAGUGGACGUAUACGGUGUGACGCCUGCCCGGUGCCGGAAGGUUAAUUGAUGGGGUCAGCGCAAGCGAAGCUCCUGAUCGAAGCCCCGGUAAACGGCGGCCGUAACUAUAACGGUCCUAAGGUAGCGAAAUUCCUUGUCGGGUAAGUUCCGACCUGCACGAAUGGCGUAAUGAUGGCCAGGCUGUCUCCACCCGAGACUCAGUGAAAUUGAACUCGCUGUGAAGAUGCAGUGUACCCGCGGCAAGACGGAAAGACCCCGUGAACCUUUACUAUAGCUUGACACUGAACAUUGAGCCUUGAUGUGUAG